GUAGUCAUAUGCUUGUCUCAAAGAUUAAGCCAUGCAUGUCUAAGUAUAAGCAAUUAUACCGUGAAACUGCGAAUGGCUCAUUAAAUCAGUUAUCGUUUAUUUGAUAGUACCUUACUACUUGGAUAACCGUGGUAAUUCUAGAGCUAAUACAUGCUGAAAACCCCAACUUCGGGAGGGGUGUAUUUAUUAGAUAAGAAACCAACGCCCUUCGGGGCUUCUUGGUGAUUCAUGAUAACUUCACGGAUCGCAUGGCCUUGCGCCGGCGACGGUUCAUUCAAAUUUCUGCCCUAUCAACUUUCGAUGGUAAGGUAUUGGCGUACCAUGGUUUCAACGGGUAACGGGGAAU
rnacentral:rRNA from 1 species